rnacentral:rRNA from 1 species
UACGUAGGGGGCAAGCGUUAUCCGGAUUUACUGGGUGUAAAGGGAGCGUAGACGGUGCGCCAAGUCUGGAGUGAAAUGCCGCAGCUUAACUGCGGAACUGCUUUGGAAACUGGCGAACUAGAGUGCGGGAGGGGUAAGCGGAAUUCCUAGUGUAGCGGUGAAAUGCGUAGAUAUUAGGAGGAACUCCGAUUGCGAAGGCAGCUCACUGGACUGCAACUGACACUGAGGCUCGAAAGUGUGGGUAUCAAACAGG